UAGCAUUUCCCUUCAGGAUGACUUGCUCCCUGUGAAGACAGCUCUUUGUUUUACACUGUUCAAAGUGUAACUAAAAUUCUCUUUCAAGAGUUAUUCUUGUUUUUUCUCGUCUUCCCAGUUCUUUCCUUUAGAGACCUGGGGUACACCCUAACACCAGCAUUAAGCCCUUCAUUAAGUUCAAAUGAGUGGUCUCAAGUUGACAGGAACCAUUUCUCAAGGGAGACAUGAUAAAGGACACGGCAGUAAAAACCUCUGUGAGGAAAAGGUUGAUGUAUCCAUCAGGAUCUUCCACAAAAUGAAAGAAGAAAAACAUAUAUUUAUGGAGAAAUUUAUUGAUGUUGUUAUGUUUUUUUAAUUUGUUCUUUUUA